UACGUAGGGUGCGGGCGUUAAUCGGAAUUACUGGGCGUAAAGCGUGCGCAGGCGGUUAGAUAAGUUUGAUGCGAAAUCCCCGGGCUCAACCUGGGAACUGCAUUGAAGACUGUCUGACUAGAGUACGGCAGAGGGGGGUGGAAUUCCACGUGUAGCAGUGAAAUGCGUAGUGAUGUGGAGGAACACCGAUGGCGAAGGCAGCCCCCUGGGUCGAUACUGACGCUCAUGCACGAAAGCGUGGGGUGCAAACAGGAUUGGAUACCCUGGUAGUCCACGCCCUAAACGAUGUCAACUAGUUGUUGGUAGGGUUAAACCUAUUAGUAACGUAGCUAACGCGUGAAGUUGACCGCCUGGGGAGUACGGUCGCAAGAUUAAAACUCAAAGGAAUUGACGGGGACCCGCACAAGCGGUGGAUGAUGUGGAUUAAUUCGAUGCAACGCGAAAAACCUUACCUACCCUUGACAUGUCAGGAAUCCCGUAGAGAUAUGGGAGUGCCGCAAGGAACCUGAACACAGGUGCUGCAUGGCUGUCGUCAGCUCGUGUCGUGAGAUGUUGGGGUAAAGUCCCCGCACGAGCGCAACCCUUGUCAUUAGUUGCCAUCAUUUAGUUGGGCACUUUAAUGAGACUGCCGGUGACAAACCGGAGGAAGGUGGGGAUGACGUCAAG
rnacentral:rRNA from 1 species